UACGGAGGGUGCGAGCGUUGUCCGGAAUCAUUGGGCGUAAAGGGUGCGUAGGUGGCGGGGUAAGUCUGGUGUGAAAUCCUGGGGCUCAACCCCGGAACUGCACUGGAUACUGCUUUGCUAGAGUACUGGAGAGGGAACUGGAAUUUACGGUGUAGCAGUGAAAUGCGUAGAUAUCGUAAGGAAGACCAGUGGCGAAGGCGAGUUCCUGGACAGUUACUGACACUGAGGCACGAAGGCCAGGGGAGCAAACGGG
rnacentral:rRNA from 1 species